GACUACCGUCUUUCAAUGUAAACUGUAAAGUCGAUGUCUGUACUGUCUUUUAGUUAGUUGUGUUUGGACCCCAGGUGUUAUGGAGUCAGCUAAUGGGGAUCCAACCAGGUAGACUAGCUGUUGUUAUGGAGUCAGGGGAUCCAACCAGGUAGACUAGCUGUUGUUAUGGAGUCAGGGGAUCCAACCAGGUAGACUAGCUGUUGUUAUGGAGUCAGGGGAUCCAACCAGGUAGACUAGCUGUUGUUAUGGAGUCAGGGGAUCCAACCAGGUAGACUAGCUGUUGUUAUGGAGUCAGGGGAUCCAACCAGAUAGACUAACUGUUGUUAUGGAGUCAGGGGAUCCAACCAGGUAGACUAGCUGUUGUUAUGGAGUCAGG